UUACGGGAGGCAGCAGUGGGGAAUUUUGCGCAAUGGGCGAAAGCCUGACGCAGCAACGCCGCGUGAGGGAUGAAGGCCUUCGGGUCGUAAACCUCUUUCAGCAGGGAUGAAACUGACAGUACCUGCAGAAGAAGCCCCGGCUAACUACGUGCCAGCAGCCGCGGUAAUACGUAGGGGGCAAGCGUUAUCCGGAUUCAUUGGGCGUAAAGAGCGCGUAGGCGGCUUGGUAAGUCAGAUGUGAAAACUGGGGGCUCAACCCGCAGCCUGCAUCUGAAACUGCCAGGCUUGAGUCUGGUAGAGGAAAGUGGAAUUCCCAGUGUAGCGGUGAAAUGCGCAGAUAUUGGGAGGAACACCAGUGGCGAAGGCGGCUUUCUGGGCCACGACUGACGCUGAGGCGCGAAAGCUAGGGGAGCAAACAGGAUUAGAUACCCUGGUAGUCU
rnacentral:rRNA from 1 species